rnacentral:tRNA from 1 species
UGAGAUUUAGUGUACUUUGCACAUGUAGGUUUGAGCUACAAAGAGGAAACAAACGUCUUCCGCUCUCAA